UUUUCUUAUUCUUUUGCUUUGCAGAAAUUAUUGGCAAGAAUUUCUAAUGGAAGACAACAACAAGCCAGGUUCAUUUUCUAAACGUGAUGAUGAUGAUGAUGAUGAAAUAUAUAGAAUGGUAAUGACAUGUGACAAAGAGUAUGUGUAUAAUCGGAUGAAAAGAUUACGGGAUGAAAAUUCAUUUUUGAGAAAAAAGUUAGAAAUUAUAGGCCGUACAGCUACUCAACAAGAAAACCACAUAAGGGAUUUUGAAAAACUGAUUAGAAUCUUUGAGCAAGAGAUAUUCAAAAUAGGUACUGAUAUCGAAAGCAAAAGAAUCUUAGAAAUUACAAGCCGUAUAGCUACUCUACAAGGAAAUCACAUAAGGAAAUUGGAAAAACUGAUAAGAGUCUUUGAGCAAGGGAUAUUCAAAAUAGGUGUUGAUAAUGAAGACAACAAAAUCUUAGAAAUUACAAGCCGUAUAGCUAAUCAACAAGGAAACCACAUAAAGGAUUUGGAAAAACAGAUAAGAGACUUGGAGAAAGAGGCUGCGUAUGCUGCAUACCUUAAUUCUGUAAGAAGUGCUUUUCAUACUCGUCAGUCUAUUAUCUUUUCUGAAAAAGCAGUGUCUAUUUUGAGUAUGGUAACAUCUCCUCUUACAAAGAAGCAGAUUAAUACAAGCUCUGAGGACUUGUACGAUGAUCCAAAACCUUCGACUUCAAGUGAUAUAGACUCUUCUUUUUGUUUUCAAUCUGAUGAUAGUUUAAAUGAUGAUAAACAAAAGGAAUCAACACCUGGAGGCAUUGACAAUGGGCCAGAUGAUAACAGAAGACAAGGAAAAUUACAGUCUUGUAGUAAUGGGACUAGCUUUGCUGAUAAUGAAAGCCAGAAACCAUCUUCCAGUACUGACACUGGCUUUAAUGAUAAUAAAAGACAGAGUGAUUCGUUAUCUAACAGUACAUUUGAUGAUAUUAGAAGACAAGAAGAAUUAUCCCAUAGCACUGAGACUAGCUUUGCUGAUAAGGAAAGCCAGAAACCAUCUUCCAGUACUGACACUAGCUUUAAUGAUAAUAGAAGACAGAGUGAUUUGUUAUCUAACAGUACAUUUGAUGAUAUUAGAAGACAAGAAGAAUUAUCCCAUAGCACUGAUACCAGCGUUGAUAAUAAUAGAACCAAAAGUUCGUUAGAUGAUAAAAGAAGGCUGCGAGAAUUAGCUUGCAGCACUAAGAAUAUAUGUAAUGAUAAUGCCAGACAAAGGCCUAUGCGCAAGUCAACUUGCAGCUCUAACUGCACAUCUGAUGAUAAUAGAAGACAGAAAGAGCCACAAUCUGGUAGCAUCCAUUGUAGGUUUAAUGAUGCUAAAAAGAAAAGAAAAUCAUCAUUUCGCUGUGGAAGAAGACCAGAUGAGAGCAAAGAGAAAGAAAAAAAAAAAUUGUCAUCGCAAACAGCUUACAAAGCAUCAGUUAUUACAGUAUCUUCAUCUCGUAAUAACGCCUGUCACAGUAAUGGUAAUGAGAGUUGCAAGGUUCUGGAAAAAAUUCAUUUUAAUAUUCACUUGCCAGACAAUCCAUUUCAGUGUGGAACUCCUACUAUAGUAACACCAUCUGCAAACUUUCCUUUUUUUAAAAGAAGAGAUUACUUUAAAAAUCUUCAAAAGAAAUGGUUUAAAUCUAGUAUAAGAGGUAAAACUGAAAAUAGUAAAUUAAAUUUCGACAAUUGUAAAUCGUCACGUAACACUUUUCGAACUAAUAGAAAGGUAAAUAAUAGUUUGAAGAAAAAAAGUAAACUUAAUGCAAUGCGAAAUAAAGUAAAAAUAAAUGAAGAAGCUUUAAAGAAUUCUGCUAAAGAACUUAGCAUGAGAACCAAGAAAAAGAAAAGUAUUCGUAAUGCAGGUAGGAAGGAUAGCAUGAGAACCAAGAAAAAGAAAAGUAUUCGUAAUGCAGGUAGGAAGGAUGUUCAUGAUGCUGUAAUGGUAAAAAAAAAUUUUGGUGAUGAGGAAGAAAACCAUGUCCAGAGUUUUAAAGUAACAGAUAUUGAAAAUGAUGAAAACAUGCAGCCAAAAGUAAUGUUGAUAGAUAUUUUUAGUGAUCCUAAUGCAGCGAAUGAUCCUUAUGUGAGUAAAAUUAAGCAAGACUUGGGUUGGAUCCUGGAUGAAUCAGAAUGCCCAGUUGUUAAUGAUGAUAUGGAAAAGGAAGAACUCACUUUUUCUAAUUUAGGAAGUUUUGAUGGAACAAAUGAAUCACCAGACAUUGAUAAUGAGAAGGUGACAGCUGAGUCAGUAUAUUCAUUUUCUGAGGAAAAUAUGGAUUAUCAAGAUCCGUCUGAGAGUGAAAUGUUAUCCCCAGAAAGUGUACAUAAUAGUGACCAAUGUUUAGAGAAAGAUGAUGAAAAGUUUGAAGACAAGUCUCCUAAUGAAGUUUUAUCUCCUAAUGAAGUAGCUAAUGAAUUUUUAUCUGAAGACUCUGCUACCAUAUUUAUGGAUGAACCUUGCUGUUCUAAGGAUUCACAAAGCUUUUCGUGUAGUCCUGCACCUGAGAACCCUCCAAGGAAGGGUCCUCGUACUCCCCCUCACCCUCCACCAGAUUAUUCAGAUGAAGAUUUCUCUUCCAUAUGCAAUAUGUCUGGGGAGGAUCAGAAUUUUGGAAAUGAAGUUACUCACUGUAAACUUUGCCAUUGAGAGAUGUAGAAGGAUUUGGGUAAACUGGAUUGACUGUUGAUGUGAAAUAUCAGAAGAUGUGUAUGACUAUGGAACCGAUUAUUAUUAUGAAUCUGAAGACUGAAAUUGGAUAGCUUUGGCAUUUUCUUCUAUCAUCUGGUAAGAAGAAAAAAAGAAAAAUGAAAGAAACUGUGCAUUUGAGUUUACUUUUUUACAUUUAUUAUAAUCUUUAUCAGUUAUUUUCUGUUAAUGGGAUGAUGCCACUUAAUGCUAAACAUAAAUAUUGGCAUGUAAUCUAACUGGAUGCAUUCAGCCCUUACAAUAUAUAAAGCUCCAUGAAGAGAAUAACUAUUUUGCAUAUGAUGCUUAAUGUGCACAAUGCCAAAUUGUACAAUUCUCUAAAUUUUUUUAAAGCAAAAACAAACCACUGUGCACAUGGGGCAAAGAAACUGUUGUUCCACAUACACAAUGAUCUGUUUUCACUGUAAGAAAUAUCAGAUAAUUGUAUUUUGCAUUGGGCACAAAAUCAAAGAAAAUUGAUUAUCUGCUCUUCAUCAUAAAAACAACUGAAAAUUUAGGACCGUAGAUUACUGUAUUGAUGUGCAUUGCCUGACUGAUAUUCAUUGAUAUCUCUUGUUCGCAACAAUGCUAUUGCUCACGUGAUGCAAACAGGCUAGCAUAUUUGGCAAUUUGUUUCCCAUUAAAGAAAAACACCCCUUUUUUUAAAUUUAUAAGUUAGCUCAAUAUUUUUCUUCAAAGGAUUUUCCCUAUCCUUCCCAUUAUUUUCCUUUUGAGUCUUGUUAAUUUAUUUCCAUCUUUUGCUGAUCAUGAUAACCUAAUUUUUCUUGAUAUAUGAAUAUGCACUUAUUCUGUAUUCAAUAAUAUUAUACACUGUUAUUUUGUAUAAUCCUUUUCAAAUAUCUGGCAUCAGAGUGUUGAAAAAUUAAACAUUAAAUUUUUGUUAAAAUUAGUUUUUAUUGCUUUUUUGUCUUUAAAUAUUAGUUGAGAGGGGAUGCUAGAAUCCACUUUGUUCUUGUAUCUUGAAAGUCAUUAGAUGCACCCAUCUAAUUUUGCAUGGUAUGAAAGUAUGUUUUAAAAUUAUAUUUUCUGAUUAGAUAGAUUUAAGUACUUUGUUUCUUAUGAGUCUGCGUUCAUUCGAUGCUGACAUCUUUAUUAUUGUAAACAGUGUCUUCUUUUAUGCAACAUUUUUUGUUUUAGAAUAUUUUUAGUUAAAAAUGUUUUAGAUUUGAUAAAUUUUUGGUAUGCUUUUAAGGUUUUUUUCAGUUGUGGGGUGUGGUGUGUUUUUGUGAAUAAUAUCUUUAAUGGAUAAUUAAAGUGAAUAUUGACUA